rnacentral:lncRNA from 1 species
CGGGAGUGGGCGCGCGCGGGGAAAGGCCCCGAAAACACCUUAGUUUGCACCGAGAGACCAUUUGCCGCGGUGUCCCAGGAGCUUCUGCUGACAAUCCCAGUUUCCAAGGGAACCCUUUCGGCCAUGGUGAGGGCUGCGCCCCCUUCUCUGACUUGCCUUCAGCCAUGAAUGGAUGGGUGUGA